UAGGGAAUCUUCCGCAAUGGGCGAAAGCCUGACGGAGCAACGCCGCGUGAGUGAAGAAGGAUUUCGGUUCGUAAAGCUCUGUUGUUAGGGAAGAAUGGAUAUGUAGUAACUAUACAUAUAAGAGACGGUACCUAACCAGAAAGCCACGGCUAACUACGUGCCAGCAGCCGCGGUAAUACGUAGGUGGCAAGCGUUGUCCGGAAUUAUUGGGCGUAAAGCGCGCGCAGGUGGUUUAAUAAGUCUGAUGUGAAAGCCCACGGCUCAACCGUGGAGGGUCAUUGGAAACUGUUAAACUUGAGUGCAGGAGAGAAAAGUGGAAUUCCUAGUGUAGCGGUGAAAUGCGUAGAGAUUAGGAGGAACACCAGUGGCGAAGGCGGCUUUUUGGCCUGUAACUGACACUGAGGCGCGAAAGCGUGGGGAGCAAACAGGAUUAGAUACCCUGGUAGUCCACGCCGUAAACGAUGAGUGCUAAGUGUUGGUCUCAUAAGAGAUCAGUGCUGCAGCUAACACAUUAAGCACUCCGCCUGGGGAGUACGACCGCAAGGUUG
rnacentral:rRNA from 1 species